GACGAACGCUGGCGGUGUGCUUAACACAUGCAAGUCGAACGGAAAGGCCCUGCUUUUGUGGGGUGCUCGAGUUGCGAACGGGUGAGUAACACGUGAGUAACCUGCCCUUUACUUUGGGAUAACUUCAGGAAACUGUGGCUAAUACCGGAUAGGAGCUCCUGCUGCAUGGUGGGUGUUUGAAAGUAUCGACGGCUUGGGUUGGACGUGCGGCUUAUUAGCUUUUUGGUGUGGUAGUGGCUUACCAAGGCUUUGACGGGUAGCCGGACUGAGAGGGUGACCGGGCACAGUGGGACUGAGGUAGGGGCAAGACGGAUACGGGAGGAAGCAGUGGGGAAUAGAGCAAGAUGGGCGGAAGGAGGAAGCAGGAACGUCGCGUGCGGAAGGACGGCCUUAGGGUUGGAAAGAGCGUGAGACUGUGAAGAAGAGUAAGUGACGGUAAUGUGUAAAGAAGCAACGGCUAACUACGUG
rnacentral:rRNA from 1 species